rnacentral:rRNA from 1 species
GUUAGCCUUGUAUUAGGAUUUACUCCGAAAGCAAGGAAACUUACAACAAAGAGUCCCUCCCGACUGUUUACCAAAAACACAGCACUCUGCUAACUCGUAAGAGGAUGUAUAGGGUGUGACGCCUGCCCGGUGCUCGAAGGUUAAUUGAUGGGGUUAGCAUUAGCGAAGCUCUUGAUCGAAGCCCGAGUAAACGGCGGCCGUAACUAUAACGGUCCUAAGGUAGCGAAAUUCCUUGUCGGUUAAAUACCGACCUGCAUGAAUGGCGUAACGAGAUGGGAGCUGUCUCAAAGAGGGAUCCAGUGAAAUUGUAGUGGAGGUGAAAAUUCCUCCUACCCGCGGCAAGACGGAAAGACCCCGUGGACCUUUACUACAGCUUGACACUGCUACUUGGAUAAGAAUGUGCAGGAUAGGUGGGAGGCUUUGAGUAUAUGACGCCAGUUGUAUAUGAGCCAUUGUUGAGAUACCACUCUUUCUUAUUUGGGUAGCUAACCAGCUUGAGUUAUCCUCAAGUGGGACAAUGUCUGGUGGGUAGUUUGACUGGGGCGGUCGCCUCCCAAAUAAUAACGGAGGCUUACAAAGGUUGGCUCAGAACGGUUGGAAAUCGUUCGUAGAGUAUAAAGGUAUAAGCCAGCUUAACUGCAAGACAUACAAGUCAAGCAGAGACGAAAGUCGGUCUUAGUGAUCCGGUGGUUCUGUGUGGAAGGGCCAUCGCUCAAAGGAUAAAAGGUACCCCGGGGAUAACAGGCUGAUCUCCCCCAAGAGCUCACAUCGACGGGGAGGUUUGGCACCUCGAUGUCGGCUCAUCGCAUCCUGGGGCUGGAGCAGGUCCCAAGGGUAUGGCUGUUCGCCAUUUAAAGCGGUACGCGAGCUGGGUUCAGAACGUCGUGAGACAGUUCGGUCCCUAUCUGCCGUGGGCGUAAGAAGAUUGAAGAGAUUUGACCCUAGUACGAGAGGACCGGGUUGAACAAACCACUGGUGUAGCUGUUGUUCUGCCAAGAGCAUCGCAGCGUAGCUAAGUUUGGAAAGGAUAAACGCUGAAAGCAUCUAAGCGUGAAGCCAACUCUAAGAUGAAUCUUCUCUAAGCUCUCUAGAAGACUACUAGUUUGAUAGGCUGGGUGUGUAAUGGAUGAAAGUCCUUUAGCUGACCAGUACUAAUAGAGCGUUUGGCUUAUCUUUAAUAAAGCAU